rnacentral:rRNA from 1 species
AACGAACGCUGGCGGCAGGCCUAACACAUGCAAGUCGAGCGCGCCCUUCGGGGUGAGCGGCGGACGGGUGAGUAACGCGUGGGAACGUGCCCUUUUCUACGGAAUAGCCUCGGGAAACUGAGAGUAAUACCGUAUACGCCCUUUGGGGGAAAGAUUUAUCGGAAAAGGAUCGGCCCGCGUUGGAUUAGGUAGUUGGUGGGGUAAUGGCCUACCAAGCCGACGAUCCAUAGCUGGUUUGAGAGGAUGAUCAGCCACACUGGGACUGAGACACGGCCCAGACUCCUACGGGAGGCAGCAGUGGGGAAUCUUAGACAAUGGGGGCAACCCUGAUCUAGCCAUGCCGCGUGAGUGAUGAAGGCCUUAGGGUUGCAAAGCUCUUUCAGCUGGGAAGAUAAUGACGGUACCAGCAGAAGAAGCCCCGGCUAACUCCGUG